GACAGAGGAUGCAAGCGUUAUCCGGAAUGAUUGGGCGUAAAGCGUCUGUAGGUGGCUUUAUUACGCCGCUCAUCCAAGCCAGGUCAACCCUGGACAGGCGGUGGAAACUACCAAGCUGGAGUACGGUAGGGGCAGAGGGAAUUUCCGGUGGAGCGGUGAAAUGCGUAGAUAUGGAAGAACACCAACGGCGAAAGCACUCUGCUGGGCCGACACUGACACUGAGAGACGAAAGCUAGGGGGAGCGAAUGGG
rnacentral:rRNA from 1 species